rnacentral:rRNA from 1 species
AUUGAACGCUGGCGGCAUGCUUUACACAUGCAAGUCGAACGGUAACAGGCCGCAAGGUGCUGACGAGUGGCGAACGGGUGAGUAAUGCAUCGGAACGUGCCCAGCCGUGGGGGAUAACUACUCGAAAGAGUAGCUAAUACCGCAUACGAUCUAUGGAUGAAAGCGGGGGACCGUAAGGCCUCGCGCGAUUGGAGCGGCCGAUGUCAGAUUAGGUAGUUGGUGGGGUAAAGGCUCACCAAGCCAACGAUCUGUAGCUGGUCUGAGAGGACAACCAGCCACACUGGGACUGAGACACGGCCCAGACUCCUACGGGAGGCAGCAGUGGGGAAUUUUGGACAAUGGGCGCAAUCCUGAUCCAGCAAUGCCGCGUGCAGGAAGAAGGCCUUCGGGUUGUAAACUGCUUUUGUACGGAACGAAACGGCUCUGGUUAAUACCCGGGGCUAAUGACGGUACCGUAAGAAUAAGCACCGGCUAACUACGUG